rnacentral:lncRNA from 1 species
AUCCUGUUUAUUGUAGACAGGGGUCCGCGCACAAAAAUCAGGAUUUGGAGACAGAGGGAGCACUCAGGAGGCAUGGUUUGGGGAAACUGAGUCAGGAGUUAAUGACAUAUAUUGAAUCUUUUUGGUCUCCUGAAAACUCUUAUGCUGUGUAUGUAAGUCACCUCCUCUAGGCUGUCCCCCAGGCUUGCAGGGCCUGCUGGCAAAUGGUCCUAUGUGAGACUGCUUGCCAGGUGGCUGAUGCUGUGCAGGAGGGGAGGGAAUUUGGAGAUGGCCAGUGUCUUUGCCUGCCGAGGGAGUGGAGACUACUGAAAGCCCGUAAUAGGACAGUGGGGCACAAGGCAUGCAUUUUAACAAAGUUUAUCCUGGUGGCCUCUUUCAGGGGUCCAAGGAGCUGCCCAAAGGCCCCCAAGGGGCGGGGAAAUGGAGACCAGGUGGCUUGCACUUUGGACUCCCUCCCCAGCUUCAGGUGGGCUGCCUUGGGCUCUGUCUCCUUUAGACAUGGGACUCUGAGUCAAGUACAUGUCAAGAACGUGUUCCGCAGUGAAAAGGAGAAACAAGUUUGAACGCCACUGAUUUAAACUAAUACAGCAGAUAGCAUUUAAUUCCAGUAAGUGGUUUUUCCCCUUCGGUGGUUUUGAUAUUCUAACAAGCCAACGUGUCUGGAGCUAAGACUCUCAGCUCCUUAAUGGGGAAGGAAAUCCUGGCAAUUUCUCAGCCCCGCUGGACGCUCCUAGCUUGACCUCAGUUUCCUCACCUGUAAAAUUGGGGUGAUCUCAGCUUCACCUUCCAUAUGAAGCCAUUGUAAGGAGCAGAGGAAGUGAGGAAAAGAGGCAAGUUUUCCAGUUGAGGAGACUGGAGGGGUGGAGUGUGACAUAAGAACAAGCCUGCCCGCUGGGGUGUGGUAGGGGUGAAGCCAAUUUCACAGCCUGGGCCCAAGAAAGAAACUACAACUUGAAGAUAAUAGUAUUUACACAGAUUGAAUCUGUGAUAUAAAGUUUAUGGUUCGUUUGGACUGUUCUGGAAUAUCCAAUAAACACUGGGAGUAGAGGAGAGCAGGUGAGGGUUCAAGUGUGAUUCUGAACGUCCCCACCUUCUUGGGGAGGGGGCAGGAUUUAAAUCACAAGAUAUUUAAUCAGAGUUCUCUCCUCUUGGUAGCUCAAAUAAGAAAAACCAAGCAAAGCAAAUCCAUCUUUUCUAUAAAACUUCAUUUUGUAAUUUUUUUCCAAGAAGUAGUAAGGGGGAAAUAUUGCAAUUAUGUAAAG